AUCGAUCUUCGGGUCACUUUUGGAGACAUUUUAGAGGGAGCUUGGAUCCUUAGUGUGGCUUCAGAGGCAUUUUGAGACAUCUUUUUCUUUUAGGAUUAGAGCCUUUGUGUUCGGCUGCUAGUUUGAGUGAGUUUUUAUCUCACUAGUGUCCCUAUGGGGGUCUCCUUGGUUCUUCGGUAGAGUUCACUUCAUUACAUUCACUAUUCACACUUUCUUUUCACUUCAGUGUUCAUAUUCCUUACACUCGUGAACUCUACCGAAGAGGGGCAUAUUUGUAGACCCCCAUUAGGGGCACAUUUUUUUCUCUCAUUUUGUGCAGCUCACUUGCCAGCUGGAGGGCUCCUACAAAGCCAAGUGCUGCCUCCUAGUUGGUUGCUAUGGAAUCAGCUUAGUGGAGUUGAU
rnacentral:lncRNA from 1 species